UACAGAGGUGGCGAGCGUUGUUCGGAAUUACUGGGCUUAAAGGGCGUGUAGGCGUUCUGAUAAGUCAGGUGUGGAAGCCCCUGGCUCAACCGGGGAAUAGCACUUGAAACUGUCGGGAUAGAGUGUAGUUAAGGAGGGCGGAAUUCCUGGUGUAGCAGUGAAAUGCGUAGAUAUCAGGAGGAAGGCCUGUGACGAAGGUGGCCCUCUGGGCUGUCACUGACGCUGAGGCGCGAAAGCGUGGGGAGCAAACAGG
rnacentral:rRNA from 1 species